rnacentral:rRNA from 1 species
CCUACGGGAGUCAGCAGUGAGGAAUAUUGGUCAAUGGACGAGAGUCUGAACCAGCCAAGUAGCGUGAAGGAUGACUGCCCUAUGGGUUGUAAACUUCUUUUAUAUGGGAAUAAAAUGUUCCACGUGUGGGAUUUUGUAUGUACCAUAUGAAUAAGGAUCGGCUAACUCCGUGCCAGCAGCCGCGGUAAUACGGAGGAUCCGAGCGUUAUCCGGAUUUAUUGGGGUUAAAGGGAGCGUAGGUGGAUUGUUAAGUCAGUUGUGAAAGUUUGCGGCUCAACCGUAAAAUUGCAGUUGAAACUGGCAGUCUUGAGUACAGUAGAGGUGGGCGGAAUUCGUGGUGUAGCGGUGAAAUGCUUAGAUAUCACGAAGAACUCCGAUUGCGAAGGCAGUUCACUGGACUGCAACUGACACUGAGGCUCGAAAGUGUGGGUAUCAAACAGGAUUAGAUACCCGAGUAGUC